rnacentral:rRNA from 1 species
UCCUACGGGACGCAGCAGUAGGGAAUUUUCGUCAAUGGGCGCAAGCCUGAACGAGCAAUGCCGCGUGAACGAGGAAGGUCUUCGGAUCGUAAAGUUCUGUUGAAGGGGAAAAAGAGCGGAGAGAGGAAAUGGUCUCCGAUUGAUAUUACCCUUCGAGGAAGUCACGGCUAACUACGUGCCAGCAGCCGCGGUAAUACGUAGGUGGCGAGCGUUAUCCGGAAUGAUUGGGCGUAAAGGGUGCGUAGGCGGCCUGCUAAGUCUGGAGUGACAUGUACCGGCUCAACCGGUACAGAUUCUGGAAACUG